UGCGUAGGUGGGCAGGUAAGUCAGUGGUGAAAUCUUUGGGCUUAACCCGAAAACUGCCAUUGAUACUAUCUGUCUUGAAUGUUGUGGAGGUGAGCGGAAUAUGUCAUGUAGCGGUGAAAUGCUUAGAUAUGACAUAGAACAUCGAUUGCGAAGGCAGCUCGCUACGCAAAUAUUGACACUGAGGCACGAAAGCGUGGGGAUCAAACAGGAUUAGAUACCCUGGUAGUCCACGCCCUAAACGAUGGAUACUCGACAUACGCGAUACACAGUGUGUGUCUGAGCGAAAGCAUUAAGUAUCCCACCUGGGAAGUACGACCGCAAGGUUGAA
rnacentral:rRNA from 1 species